UAAAUGCAGGUACUUGCGCUUCAGCGAUUUGGAUUUCUUCGCCAGUCUUAGGGUUACGACCUGUGCGAGCUGCACGAGUACGAACACUGAAAGUACCGAAGCCAACUAAAGCCACUUGAUCACCAGAUUGUAAAGUGUCGCUCACUGAGUCA
rnacentral:misc_RNA from 1 species